GUGCUCACUAUGACAGCACAUAGCCUAAAAUUGGAAUGCUACAGAGAAGACUAGCCUCACCCCUGAGAGAGGAUGACAAGUAAAUUCACAAAGUGUUCCAUAUUUUU
ensembl:snRNA U6 U6 spliceosomal RNA